CCUACGGGUGGCAGCAGUGAGGAAUAUUGGUCAAUGGGCGCGAGCCUGAACCAGCCAAGUAGCGUGAAGGAUGACUGCCCUACGGGUUGUAAACUUCUUUUAUAAAGGAAUAAAGUGAGGCACGUGUGCCUUUUUGUAUGUACUUUAUGAAUAAGGAUCGGCUAACUCCGUGCCAGCAGCCGCGGUAAUCCGGAGGAUCCGAGCGUUAUCCGGAUUUAUUGGGUUUAAAGGGAGCGUAGAUGGGUUGUUAAGUCAGUUGGGAAAGUUUGCGGCUCAACCGUAAAAUUGCAAUUGAUACUGGCAGUCGUGAGUACAGUUGAGGUAGGCGGAAUGCGUGGUGUAGCGGUGAAAUGCUUAGAUAUCACGAAGAACUCCGAUGGCGAAGGCAGCUUACUAAACUGCCACUGACAUUGAUGCUCGAAAGUGUGGGUAGCAAACAGGAUUAGAUACCCGGGUAGUC
rnacentral:rRNA from 1 species